rnacentral:lncRNA from 1 species
GCGAUGGCGGAGCGGAGCAGGCCGACGUGGGCAGGCGGAGCAUAUUAAAGAAGACAUGUCUCCCUCUCAGAGAGAGGAUGAUAUUCUCUGGAAAAGGAAGUUGGCCACACCUGUCACUGGAGCCCAUUGGCGAACUGGCCCCUGUACCCAUUGUAGGGGCAGAAACCAUUGAUCUAUUAAACACAGGAGAGAAGCUCUUUAUAUUCAGAAAUCCAAAGGAGCCAGAGAUCUCACUGCACGUUCCUCCCAGGAAAAAGAAGAACUUUUUGAAUGCCAAAAAGGCCAUGAGGGCCUUGGGCAUGGACUAGCCCAAGGGAAAGACCUGCGGGAGCAUCUGAAGAGAGAAGGGAUGAUUUUCUCCUGCCCGCCGGUGUUUGUGUGUUUAUAAUGCACAACUCGCAAAUAUAAAUUGCACAUGCAGAAGGCACAGACCCCGUAGCGCAUGCCAACUUGCAGGGACUCGGUUUAAUCUUGUCUCAUGAAUUUCCAGAUGGCCCACUCUCUUCCAUAUCACAAGGACAUAAACACUCCUUCUUUCAGCCCCACCUCCCCAGGGCCCUGGAGGAGACCCCCACCCUGCAAUCCACACCCCA